GCCUAUGAACUCCCGCAGCGACUCUAAAGAACUGCAGUUAGUCUGCUCAAACAGUCAGCAGGCAACGCUAUUAAUCUGCGCUGGGAGCGCCUCUACACGGAGGCUCACCAGCAGCCCAAUCUUCUAGGGUUCACAGAUCAAACAAUGGCGGCCGCAAAUCGUGGUUUAGAUAUGAUCGGCCCCAUCCGCUCCGCGGUUGGCGAAUUUGUGGAACCUGCGGAAG
rnacentral:rRNA from 1 species